rnacentral:rRNA from 1 species
AGAGUUUGAUCCUGGCUCAGGACGAACGCUGGCGGCGUGCUUAACACAUGCAAGUCGAACGAAAAUACCAAGCUUGCUUGGUUGAUUAGUGGCGAACGGGUGAGUAACACGUGAGUAACCUGCCCCUUACUUUCCUGGAUAACUGCUCGAAAGGGUAGCUAAUACGGGAUAUUCUGACCGGCCUGCAUGGGUUGGUUUGGAAAGGUUAUUUUUUUUCUGGUAAGGGAUGGGCUCGCGGCCUAUCAGCUUGUUGGUGGGGUGAUGGCCUACCAAGGCUUUGACGGGUAGCCGGCCUGAGAGGGUGACCGGUCACAUUGGGACUGAGAUACGGCCCAGACUCCUACGGGAGGCAGCAGUGGGGAAUAUUGCACAAUGGGCGCAAGCCUGAUGCAGCGACGCCGCGUGAGGGAUGAAGGCCUUCGGGUUGUAAACCUCUUUCGUCAGGGAACAAGGCAUUGCCUUUUUUGGUGGUGUUGAGGGUACCUGGAUAAGAAGCGCCGGCUAACUACGUGCCAGCAGCCGCGGUAAUACGUAGGGCGCGAGCGUUGUCCGGAAUUAUUGGGCGUAAAGAGCUCGUAGGCGGCUGGUCGCGUCUGUCGUGAAAACUUCCGGCUCAACCGGGGGCUUGCGGUGGGUACGGGCCGGCUAGAGUGCGGUAGGGGUAACUGGAACUCCUGGUGUAGCGGUGGAAUGCGCAGAUAUCAGGAAGAACACCGAUGGCGAAGGCAGGUUACUGGGCCGUUACUGACGCUGAGGAGCGAAAGCGUGGGGAGCGAACAGGAUUAGAUACCCUGGUAGUCCACGCCGUAAACGUUGGGCACUAGGUGUGAGGCUCCUUUCCGGGGGUUUUGCGCCGUAGCUAACGCAUUAAGUGCCCCGCCUGGGGAGUACGGCCGCAAGGCUAAAACUCAAAG